rnacentral:rRNA from 1 species
AAGGGAGAGGAAUAGGUAGAAAUCUACCCUCGGGACGGGGAUAGCGGCGGGAAACUGCCGGUAAUACCCGAUAACAUCUUCGGAUCAAAGGUGUGAUUCCGCCUGGGGAUGAGUCUACUUCCUAUUAGCUUGUUGGCGGGGUAAUGGCCCACCAAGGCAACGAUGGGUAGCGGGUGUGAGAGCAUGACCCGCCUCACUGGGACUGAGAACUGCCCAGACACCUACGGGUGGCUGCAGUCGAGAAUCUUCGGCAAUGGGCGCAAGCCUGACCGAGCGACGCCGCGUGCGGGAUGAAGGCCUUCGGGUUGUAAACCGCUGUCGUAGGGGAACAAAUUUACGGGGGUUCUCCCCUGUAAUUGAGUGAUCCUAGGAGGAAGGAGAGGCUAAGCUCGUGCCAGCAGCCGCGGUAAGACGAGCUCUCCAAACGUUAUUCAGUAUCACUGGGCUUAAAGAGUUCGUAGGCGGCCUUGCAGGUGAGGUGUGAAAGCCCUCGACUCAACCGGGGAACUGCGCUUCAAACCGCAAGGCUGGAGGGAGAUAGAGGUGAGCGGAACAGAUGGU